GUGGGGAAUCUUCCGCAAUGGACGAAAGUCUGACGGAGCAACGCCGCGUGAGUGAUGAAGGUCUUCGGAUUGUAAAGCUCUGUUAAUCGGGACGAAAGAGCCUAGUGUGAAUAAUGCUAGGAAGUGACGGUACCGGAAUAGAAAGCCACGGCUAACUACGUGCCAGCAGCCGCGGUAAUACGUAGGUGGCAAGCGUUGUCCGGAAUUAUUGGGCGUAAAGCGCGCGCAGGCGGAUCUGCCAGUCUGUCUUAAAAGUUCGGGGCUUAACCCCGUGAUGGGAUGGAAACUACAGAUCUAGAGUAUCGGAGAGGAAAGUGGAAUUCCUAGUGUAGCGGUGAAAUGCGUAGAUAUCCGGAGGAACACCGGUGGCGAAGGCGGCCACCUGGACAGGUACUGACGCUGAGGCGCGAAAGCGUGGGGAGCAAACAGGAUUAGAAACCCUUGUAGUCC
rnacentral:rRNA from 1 species